ACGGGAGGCAGCAGUGGGGAAUAUUGGGCAAUGGGCGAAAGCCUGACCCAGCGACGCCGCGUGAGGGAAGACGGUCUUCGGAUUGUAAACCUUAGUCAACAGGGAAGAAGAAAGUGACGGUACCUGUGGAGGAAGCCACGGCUAACUACGUGCCAGCAGCCGCGGUAAUACGUAGGUGGCAAGCGUUAUCCGGAAUUACUGGGUGUAAAGGGUGUGUAGGCGGGAAGGCAAGUCAGAUGUGAAAAUUAUGGGCUCAACCCAUAACUUGCAUUUGAAACUGUUUUUCUUGAGAGACGGAGAGGUAAACGGAAUUCCCAGUGUAGCGGUGAAAUGCGUAGAUAUUGGGAGGAACACCAGUGGCGAAGGCGGUUUACUGGACGUCAACUGACGCUGAGACACGAAAGCGUGGGGAGCAAACAGGAUUAGAUACCCUGGUA
rnacentral:rRNA from 2 species